rnacentral:rRNA from 1 species
UACGUAGGGUGCGAGCGUUGCCCGGAUUUAUUGGGCGUAAAGGGCGCGUAGGCGGCUCGGCACGUCCGUUGUGAAAGCCCCCGGCUCAACUGGGGAGGGUCACGCGAUACUGAUCGACUGGAAGGCAGGAGAGGGUAGUGGAAUUCCCGGUGUAGUGGUGAAAUGCGUAGAUAUCGGGAGGAACACCAGUGGCGAAGGCGACUACCUGGCCUGUUCUUGACGCUGAGGCGCGAAAGCUAGGGGAGCAAACGGG